UCUAUCUAUCUAUCUAUCUAUCUAUCUGUCUGUCUGUCUGUCUGUCUGUCUGUCUGUCUGUCUGUCUGUCUGUCUGUCUGUCUGUCUAUAUCAUGGGAGAUGCCUUCAUGGAAAAAUAAACUCUUCCACAACCUUGAAGCUCUGACAGGUGCACAGGUGCUAUAAGGAGUUUCUGUUUAUGUUGGAGUUUCUAUCCAAUUAGAUUUCACACAUCACAUCACAUGUUGCCAGCAUCAAAGGAAUCAGGACUUCAAAAUGAACAGAGUGGGCGCUUGCAGCAAACAGUUCAUGGUGCUUGAAAGCUGUUGUUUGAGUUGGCGGCACUGAGGCGCACAAUAAUGGAUCUGCUGCAAACUGCACAAGCUCAAAAACAUACCUGUGGAUUUAAAAGCUGUUUUUUUAUUUCACUGUGGCUGACAGAGGCGAAGAAAUGAAUUUAGUCACAGUUACACCUAUAAGGAUUUUUACAAGACGAACUGUUUCAGAAAAGCUGGAGGAAAAGUGAGGAAAGAAGAAGAGAAAUUGAUUUGGUCUCGGACAAAAU